rnacentral:rRNA from 1 species
UUUCAUUGGAGAGUUUGAUCCUGGCUCAGGACGAACGCUGGCGGCGUGCUUAACACAUGCAAGUCGAACGGAAAGGCCCCUUUGGGGGUACUCGAGUGGCGAACGGGUGAGUAACACGUGAGUAACCUGCCCUUGACUUCGGGAUAACUUCAGGAAACUGGGGCUAAUACCGGAUAGGAAUCCUUGCUGCAUGGUGGGGGUUGGAAAGCUUCGGCGGUUUUGGAUGGACUCGCGGCUUAUCAGCUUGUUGGUGGGGUAGUGGCUUACCAAGGCUUUGACGGGUAGCCGGCCUGAGAGGGCGACCGGCCACAUUGGGACUGAGAUACGGCCCAGACUCCUACGGGAGGCAGCAGUGGGGAAUAUUGCACAAUGGGCGGAAGCCUGAUGCAGCAACGCCGCGUGCGGGAUGACGGCCUUCGGGUUGUAAACCGCUUUCAGCAGGGGCGAAGCUUGUGGUGACGGUACCUGCAGAAG